rnacentral:rRNA from 1 species
UACGUAGGGUGCGAGCGUUGUCCGGAAUUACUGGGCGUAAAGAGCUCGUAGGCGGUUUGUCGCGUCUGCCGUGAAAGCCCGGGGCUUAACUCCGGGUCUGCAUUCGAUACGGGCAGGCUAGAGUUCGGUAGGGGAGAUCGGAAUUCCUGGUGUAGCGGUGAAAUGCGCAGAUAUCAGGAGGAACACCGGUGGCGAAGGCGGAUCUCUGGGCCGAUACUGACGCUGAGGAGCGAAAGCGUGGGGAGCGAACAGG